GAUGAACGCUGGCGGCGUGCCUAAUACAUGCAAGUCGAGCGAACAGACGAGGAGCUUUCCCCCCUGACGUUAGCGUCGGACGGGUGAGUAACACGUGGAUAACCUACCUAUAAGACUGGGAUAACUUCGGGAAACCGGAGCUAAUACCGGAUAAUAUAUUGAACCGCAUGGUUCAAUAGUGAAAGACGGCUUUGCUGUCACUUUUAGAUGGAUCCGCGCCGGAUUAGCUAGUUGGUAAGGUAACGGCUUACCCAGGCAACGAUGCGUAGCCGACCUGAGAGGGUGAUCGGCCACACUGGAACUGAGACACGGUCCAGACUCCUACGGGAGGCAGCAGUAGGGAAUCUUCCGCAAUGGGCGAAAGCUUGACGGAGCAACGCCGCGUGAGUGAUGAAGGUCUUCGGAUCGUAAAACUCUGUUAUUAGGGAAGAACAAAUGUGUAAGUAACUAUGCACGUAUUGACGGUACCUAAUCAGAAAGCCACGGCUAACUACGUG
rnacentral:rRNA from 1 species